GUGUCAUCUGCUCUAUCUGAGGUCAUUCUCCCCACGUUUAACCCUUUCCGUCUGUUUCCUUCGGUCGAUAAGGAAUUUCACUGCUCCUAUCCUGGGAUUUGCUGGUGUCUUUGCUGGUGUCUUGACAACUGUAGGUACCCAGCACUCCAGAUGUUGAGCAUAAAUAUGAACCAACCGACUGGAAAGAGAAGCUUCAGUUGAUCCUGUCUGCCAUGCUUUAUUAACCACUUGACAAAGUUUUCAAAAACUGGAGACACAGGGGGGGAGAUGGACAGAUCGGCUUUGCUAAUGAAAAGAAAACAGGCUUUGGAGUACAAUGAAUGAUGUCACAAUAUUUUAGAAGAGGAGAGAAAAAAACUUUCAGAAGAAUGUCACCUUUUCAUCACAAGUCUUUUGUGCCUUGUAAGGGCUAUUCCACACGGGGAGAUCGGCAGGCGU